UACGGAGGGAGCUAGCGUUGUUCGGAAUUACUGGGCGUAAAGCGCGCGUAGGCGGCUUUUUAAGUCAGGGGUGAAAUCCCGGGGCUCACCCUCGGAACUGCCUUUGAAACUGGAAAGCUAGAAUCUUGGAGAGGCGAGUGGAAUUCCGAGUGUAGAGGUGAAAUUCGUAGAUAUUCGGAAGAACACCAGUGGCGAAGGCGACUCGCUGGACAAGUAUUGACGCUGAGGUGCGAAAGCGUGGGGGGCAAACAGG
rnacentral:misc_RNA from 1 species